rnacentral:lncRNA from 1 species
GUUGAAAAUUAACAAAUCUAGUUUCAGUUUCAAUCUAAAAUAAAAUAGUUGCCCCCUUUACAAACACAUUAGACAUGUGUCUGUCUCAAGUCAAGAAGAUUAACGCAAGUUGCAGGACCAUGAAAAUAAGACUUGCUUUUGUAACAGUUUAUUUCUUCCUCUGUUAUAUUUCCUGGGGAUAAUUUGUCACAGUUAUUCUUUUCCAGACAUGGUAUUUCACAGGUAGAUUUUAUCCAGAGGAGUAACAUUCUAUCUGUCUUAUGCGGAUAGAGUUUACCAGUAUAUAUUUACCGUUUCAUAUUUCACAGAACCUUGUGAAAUAGAGUCCAAUUUUCUACUAUGUAAGGUACUCGCAAUUAAUAUAUACC